rnacentral:rRNA from 1 species
UGCAAGUCGAGCGGUAGCACAGAGAGCUUGCUCUCGGGUGACGAGCGGCGGACGGGUGAGUAAUGUCUGGGAAACUGCCUGAUGGAGGGGGAUAACUACUGGAAACGGUAGCUAAUACCGCAUAAUGUCGCAAGACCAAAGUGGGGGACCUUCGGGCCUCAUGCCAUCAGAUGUGCCCAGAUGGGAUUAGCUAGUAGGUGGGGUAACGGCUCACCUAGGCGACGAUCCCUAGCUGGUCUGAGAGGAUGACCAGCCACACUGGAACUGAGACACGGUCCAGACUCCUACGGGAGGCAGCAGUGGGGAAUAUUGCACAAUGGGCGCAAGCCUGAUGCAGCCAUGCCGCGUGUGUGAAGAAGGCCUUCGGGUUGUAAAGCACUUUCAGCGGGGAGGAAGGCGGUGAGGUUAAUAACCUCAUCGAUUGACGUUACCCGCAGAAGAAGCACCGGCUAGCUCCGUGCCAGCAGCCGCGGUCAUACGGAGGGUGCAAGCGUUAAUCGGAAUUACUGGGGCGUACAGCGCACGCAGGCGGUCUGUCAAGUCGGAUGUGAAAUCCCCGGGCUCAACCUGGGAACUGCAUUCGAAACUGGCAGGCUAGAGUCUUGUAGAGGGGGGUAGAAUUCCAGGUGUAGCGGUGAAAUGCGUAGAGAUCUGGAGGAAUACCGGUGGCGAAGGCGGCCCCCUGGACAAAGACUGACGCUCAGGUGCGAAAGCGUGGGGAGCAAACAGGAUUAGAUACCCUGGUAGUCCACGCCGUAAACGAUGUCGAUUUGGAGGUUGUGCCCUUGAGGCGUGGCUUCCGGAGCUAACGCGUUAAAUCGACCGCCUGGGGAGUACGGCCGCAAGGUUAAAACUCAAAUGAAUUGACGGGGGCCCGCACAAGCGGUGGAGCAUGUGGUUUAAUUCGAUGCAACGCGAAGAACCUUACCUGGUCUUGACAUCCACAGAACUUAGCAGAGAUGCUUUGGUGCCUUCGGGAACUGUGAGACAGGUGCUGCAUGGCUGUCGUCAGCUCGUGUUGUGAAAUGUUGGGUUAAGUCCCGCAACGCGCGCAACCCUUAUCCUUUGUUGCCAGCGGUCCGGCCGGGAACUCAAAGGAGACUGCCAGUGAUAAACUGGAGGAAGGUGAGGAUGACGUCAAGUCAUCAUGGCCCUUACGACCAGGGCUACACACGUGCUACAAUGGCAUAUACAAAGAGAAGCGACCUCGCGAGAGCAAGCGGACCUCAUAAAGUAUGUCGUAGUCCGGAUUGGAGUCUGCAACUCGACUCCAUGAAGUCGGAAUCGCUAGUAAUCGCGGAUCAGCAUGUCGCGGUGAUACGUUCCCGGGUCUUGUACACACCGCCCGUCACACCAUGGGAGCGGGUUCCGCCAGAAGUGGUAGCCUAACCGCAAGGAGGGCGCUUACC